rnacentral:rRNA from 1 species
AAAAGGAGUACCUUCGCAAAAUAGAGAUAUCGGCAUCAAGGGGAUAAGGUUCGCCUAACGCAUCGUCUUGUGUGGAUACGAAUCAAUUGAUUCGACCAGAAGGCACCAGCUCUCGGAAGGAGGCGCCUUCGCGCUGGGAUGAACCAGGCGGAGGGCCCGCGCGCCAGAGGCCGGGGGCCGUGUCGGGUGGAGGCGCGCCAGCGUCGAUGGUGGUGCCGCCGUUGGCGGACGCGCUGGUCCCCAAGGGCAAGAAGAACGCCGUGCUGAUGUUGCUCGCCGAGGUAAUAUUAUCUGCAGCGAGUACCCGUGCGACGAACGUCGGUGGCCGGAGGCGUGGCCUUUGGUGUCGCUUACGGCGACUUCGUCCUAAUGCUAGAAGAGGGAGGGCAGUCUCCACGGAACCGCAGAAAGGAUGAAUUCGGGCGCUGGUCCUUAUGGGCACGUGUACGAAGACUUUCCGGCUGUCAUCGACAAGGUCAAUCCGGCUCCCGUAGGGGAGUGACGACAGCGGCGCGUCGGCGGCUCGUUCUGGCGACAGUAGUGCUUGUUUGGGG